rnacentral:tRNA from 1 species
GUUAAUAUAGCUUAAUUUUUUCAAAGCAAGACACUGAAAAUGUCUAGACCGGUGCUCAUCACCCCAUAAACA